UACGUAGGGUGCGAGCGUUAAUCGGAAUUACUGGGCGUAAAGCGUGCGCAGGCGGUUAUUUAAGUCAGGUGUGAAAGCCCUGGGCUUAACCUAGGAAUUGCGCUUGAGACUGGAUAGCUUGGAGUGCGGCAGAGGGAGGUGGAAUUCCACGUGUAGCAGUGAAAUGCGUAGAGAUGUGGAGGAACACCGAUGGCGAAGGCAGCCUCCUGGGCCAGCACUGACGCUCGAUGCACGAAACGCGUGGGGAGCAAACAGG
rnacentral:rRNA from 1 species